CCUACGGGAGGCAGCAGUGAGGAAUAUUGGUCAAUGGGAGAGAUCCUGAACCAGCCAAGCCGCGUGAGGGAAGACGGCCCUGUGGGGUGUAAACCUCUUUUGUCGGAGAACAAAACCCGGUACGUGUCCCGGACUGCGUGUAUCCGAAGAAAAAGCAUCCGCUAACUCCGUGCCAGCUGCCGCGGUAAUACGGAGGCUGCGAGCGUUAUCCGGAUUUAUUGGGUUAAAAGGGUGCGGAGGCGGUCCGUUAAGUCAGCGGUAAAAUUGCGGGGCUAAACCCCGUCGAGCAGUUGAAACUGGCAGACUUGAGUUGGCGAGAAGUACGGGGAAUGCGCGGUGUAGCGGUGAAAUGCAUAGAUAUCGCGCAGAACACCGGUUGCGAAGGCAGCGUACCGGCGCCAGACUGACGCUGAGGCACGAAAGCGUGGGGAUCGAACAGGAUUAGAUACCCCUGUAGUC
rnacentral:rRNA from 1 species